GGUUAAGCGACUAAGCGUACACGGUGGAUGCCCUGGCAGUCAGAGGCGAUGAAGGGCGUGCUAAUCUGCGAUAAGCGCCGGUAAGGUGAUAUGAACCGUUAUAACCGGCGAUACCCGAAUGGGGAAACCCAGUGUGACUCGUCACACUAUCAUUAACUGAAUCCAUAGGUUAAUGAGGCGAACCGGGGGAACUGAAACAUCUAAGUACCCCGAGGAAAAGAAAUCAACCGAGAUUCCCCCAGUAGCGGCGAGCGAACGGGGAGGAGCCCAGAGCCUGAAUCAGCAUGUGUGUUAGUGGAAGCGUCUGGAAAGGCGCGCGAUACAGGGUGACAGCCCCGUACACAAAAGCGCAUGUGCUGUGAGCUCGAUGAGUAGGGCGGGACACGUGGUAUCCUGUCUGAAUAUGGGGGGACCAUCCUCCAAGGCUAAAUACUCCUGACUGACCGAUAGUGAACCAGUACCGUGAGGGAAAGGCGAAAAGAACCCCGGCGAGGGGAGUGAAAAAGAACCUGAAACCGUGUACGUACAAGCAGUGGGAGCCCCACCACCAAAGCAUUCUCUGGUGUUGAAGGCCCUGCAAAGCAGCAUCGCGGUGGCGGAGCGUCGUUUGCGACGCCCAACACACAAAACAAGCGGUGAGUGCUUUGGGGUGGGGUGACUGCGUACCUUUUGUAUAAUGGGUCAGCGACUUAUAUUCUGUAGCAAGGUUAACCGUAUAGGGGAGCCGGAGGGAAACCGAGUCUUAACCGGGCGUUAAGUUGCAGGGUAUAGACCCGAAACCCGGUGAUCUAGCCAUGGGCAGGUUGAAGGUUGGGUAACACUAACUGGAGGACCGAACCGACUAAUGUUGAAAAAUUAGCGGAUGACCUGUGGCUGGGGGUGAAAGGCCAAUCAAACCGGGAGAUAGCUGGUUCUCCCCGAAAGCUAUUUAGGUAGCGCCUCGUGAAUUCAUCUCCGGGGGUAGAGCACUGUUUCGGCUAGGGGGCCAUCCCGGCUUACCAACCCGAUGCAAACUGCGAAUACCGGAGAAUGUUAUCACGGGAGACACACGGCGGGUGCUAACGUCCGUCGUGAAGAGGGAAACAACCCAGACCGCCAGCUAAGGUCCCAAAGUCAUGGUUAAGUGGGAAACGAUGUGGGAAGGCCCAGACAGCCAGGAUGUUGGCUUAGAAGCAGCCAUCAUUUAAAGAAAGCGUAAUAGCUCACUGGUCGAGUCGGCCUGCGCGGAAGAUGUAACGGGGCUAAACCAUGCACCGAAGCUGCGGCAGCGACGCUUAUGCGUUGUUGGGUAGGGGAGCGUUCUGUAAGCCUGUGAAGGUGGCCUGUGAGGGUUGCUGGAGGUAUCAGAAGUGCGAAUGCUGACAUAAGUAACGAUAAAGCGGGUGAAAAGCCCGCUCGCCGGAAGACCAAGGGUUCCUGUCCAACGUUAAUCGGGGCAGGGUGAGUCGACCCCUAAGGCGAGGCCGAAAGGCGUAGUCGAUGGGAAACGGGUUAAUAUUCCCGUACUUGGUGUUACUGCGAAGGGGGGACGGAGAAGGCUAUGUUGGCCGGGCGACGGUUGUCCCGGUUUAAGCGUGUAGGUGUGUGUUCCAGGUAAAUCCGGUUCACUUUAACACUGAGGCGUGAUGACGAGGCACUACGGUGCUGAAGCAACAAAUGCCCUGCUUCCAGGAAAAGCCUCUAAGCAUCAGGUAACAUCAAAUCGUACCCCAAACCGACACAGGUGGUCAGGUAGAGAAUACCAAGGCGCUUGAGAGAACUCGGGUGAAGGAACUAGGCAAAAUGGUGCCGUAACUUCGGGAGAAGGCACGCUGACAUGUAGGUGAAGUGAUUUACUCAUGGAGCUGAAGUCAGUCGAAGAUACCAGCUGGCUGCAACUGUUUAUUAAAAACACAGCACUGUGCAAACACGAAAGUGGACGUAUACGGUGUGACGCCUGCCCGGUGCCGGAAGGUUAAUUGAUGGGGUCAGCGCAAGCGAAGCUCCUGAUCGAAGCCCCGGUAAACGGCGGCCGUAACUAUAACGGUCCUAAGGUAGCGAAAUUCCUUGUCGGGUAAGUUCCGACCUGCACGAAUGGCGUAAUGAUGGCCAGGCUGUCUCCACCCGAGACUCAGUGAAAUUGAACUCGCUGUGAAGAUGCAGUGUACCCGCGGCAAGACGGAAAGACCCCGUGAACCUUUACUAUAGCUUGACACUGAACAUUGAGCCUUGAUGUGUAGGAUAGGUGGGAGGCUUUGAAGUGUGGACGCCAGUCUGCAUGGAGCCGACCUUGAAAUACCACCCUUUAAUGUUUGAUGUUCUAACGUGGACCCGUGAUCCGGGUUGCGGACAGUGUCUGGUGGGUAGUUUGACUGGGGCGGUCUCCUCCUAAAGAGUAACGGAGGAGCACGAAGGUUGGCUAAUCCUGGUCGGACAUCAGGAGGUUAGUGCAAUGGCAUAAGCCAGCUUGACUGCGAGCGUGACGGCGCGAGCAGGUGCGAAAGCAGGUCAUAGUGAUCCGGUGGUUCUGAAUGGAAGGGCCAUCGCUCAACGGAUAAAAGGUACUCCGGGGAUAACAGGCUGAUACCGCCCAAGAGUUCAUAUCGACGGCGGUGUUUGGCACCUCGAUGUCGGCUCAUCACAUCCUGGGGCUGAAGUAGGUCCCAAGGGUAUGGCUGUUCGCCAUUUAAAGUGGUACGCGAGCUGGGUUUAGAACGUCGUGAGACAGUUCGGUCCCUAUCUGCCGUGGGCGCUGGAGAACUGAGGGGGGCUGCUCCUAGUACGAGAGGACCGGAGUGGACGCAUCACUGGUGUUCGGGUUGUCAUGCCAAUGGCACUGCCCGGUAGCUAAAUGCGGAAGAGAUAAGUGCUGAAAGCAUCUAAGCACGAAACUUGCCCCGAGAUGAGUUCUCCCUGAGACUUUAGGUCUCCUGAAGGAACGUUGAAGACGACGACGUUGAUAGGCCGGGUGUGUAAGCGCAGCGAUGCGUUGAGCUAACCGGUACUAAUGAACCGUGAGGCUUAACCUU
rnacentral:rRNA from 1 species